rnacentral:miRNA from 1 species
UUUCCUUACUUUCUCUUGUAGC